UAAUAGCUCACUGGUCGAGUCGGCCUGCGCGGAAGAUGUAACGGGGCUAAACCAUGCACCGAAGCUGCGGCAGCGACACUGUGUGUUGUUGGGUAGGGGAGCGUUCUGUAAGCCUGCGAAGGUGUGCUGUGAGGCAUGCUGGAGGUAUCAGAAGUGCGAAUGCUGACAUAAGUAACGAUAAAGCGGGUGAAAAGCCCGCUCGCCGGAAGACC
rnacentral:rRNA from 1 species